CACUAUCGGAUCGUUUUAGAAACAUCAGUGGCCAACAAUCGUCAGGAUUGUUGAGCUGCAUUGGCGGGAUUUCGCCGUCUUCGUUUCUCUUUCUUCGCGGACGAACACGCGCUGGGGCUGCAAGUUUGCAGAGUCCCUGGUCCUUGACUGGAUAUGCGUUAGGGGCUUGUAGCUCAGUUGGUUAGAGCGCGCGCUUGAUAAGCGUGAGGUCGGAAGUUCAAGUCUUCCCAGGCCCACCACUUUCAUCGAGUGAGCAUUCGUCUUCUGGUUACGGGGCCAUAGCUCAGCUGGGAGAGCGCGUGCUUUGCAAGCAUGAGGUCGUCGGUUCGAUCCCGUCUGGCUCCACCAGAUGGUUUGAUCAUCGACUGAUCGUGCACCUAAAUCGUCCGCGAAACAUCACUUCGCAUCUUGCUAGUCUGGAUAGACAGCAAGUUGCGUGAUUUCUGACAUCGUAAAGAGGAGAUCGAUCCGAGUUGGAUCGUGCAGCAAGCAAUUGCUACGCGAGACUUCAUUAUCUCCGGAUCAUUUCGGCGCUCGUGCGUCUUUCAAGGGCAGCUCACAAGGCUGCUUCUGGAGAGACAAGCGAGUUGUAAAUGAUCCUUUUAGCGAAGCUUGACCGCCUCGCUAUCGGAACGAUCUUACGAAGCAAGCUGGUCUUUCUAAUCAUUGUCCGGCUGCAGAUAGCGUUCAUCGAGGGCGCGUGCCGCAAGGCAGUUCUGCAGACAACAUUCUGCCGAGUGUGUGGACAUUGAUAAUGAGAGCAAUCAAGUGCCUUAAGGGUGUUCGGUGGAUGCCUUGGCGCUGAGAGGCGAUGAAGGACGUGCUACGCUGCGAUAAGCC
rnacentral:misc_RNA from 1 species